UAAAGGCACUAGGGAAAGGGAGAGGCUCUUUGCAGUCAGUGCCAAGAAACUCGGACACCCCACGCUCGCCAUGAGGCGAAGGGAGCUAUCCUGGGGGAGCACAAGUGUUCCCGAGACUUUGCCAAAGGUUCGGCAGCCCGGAGGUAGCGUGUCCCUCCCCACCUCCGCCCACUACUGGUGGUUUCACAAUCCCCUCCAGACUGCUUCAGGAGUGACCCAGGGGGGAGCCAGAGGGUGGGGAGAGUUGAAGAAGAUGGACCUUCUCUGUUUCCCGCCCCACGGCCCAGGAAAACCUCCAAAGGGUUAAAAUGACGCGGUAGGGUGGGCGGGAGGAUGGUGCCAGAGUUCGACCCUAGUCGGCGGAAGAAGAAGGGUAGGGGUGUACAAGUUAGAAAGAGGCCAGCAAAACUGGGAGCCAGGGGAGACGUGAGGCGAGAUCCUCUGUUAUAGGGGCCGGUUCCAAGGAAGACGCCGGACGGAUGGGGCUGGGGCUGGCAGCAGAGGAGUCGAACUGGUUAUGGAGCGUGUCGGCUCCCCUGGACAGGGUUAUGUCAGGAGAGCGCCUUGGCACCGAGUUCUGGCCAGAGAGAAAGAAGCAAACGAUACCAUGAAAACGGAUAGAUGAUCACAUCCAGAGUGACUGGACAACCAUGAACCACAUGAAGAAAUGGAGUACCCUCGGCUUCAUCUUUAACCUGAAAUGCCUGACAUUUUCCUGCCUCUUCAGCCACAACCAAUCGUGGUUCACCACUGUGAUGUCAGUCUGAGCAAAACUGAAAGAGAAAGACAUGGAGCAGAUGACAAUGCAAAUAGCAGCGACUCUCGGACCGGUUGUUCUGCACCUUCUCGCUGAGAUCCUCUGGGGUCAGCCAGCUCUCCUCUUUCAGGGAUUUUCAGAGUGCAUGAAGCACAUGGUUGCUCACAAGUAUUUUUGUCCGUGUGACAGGGAGUGGCAGCGCUUGCUCUCCCACACUCUUGAAGGCCAGUGGUGCUCCACAGGAAGUGCAGGAUGACUGUUGACCUAGUUAAACCAGCCUCCCAAGAACACCAAGAGAAACCCGGUGCACACACGACCUCCUCUGUAUUUCGUUCUUAGUAAUUUUAUCAGACGAUAGGAUGAAAGCAUAGAAAGGAUCUUUAUCAAAAGUGCAAAUGAUCUCAAGUCAGAGCUUUUGGUACAGUCUACUGAUUUUUUUUUUUUUUUUUUUUUUUUAGAUCAAGAAUGGCAGAUCUAGAGCUGAGGCCACUGUGUAACUGCAGAGGCACCAUUCAUGUAGACUAUAUAGAAUGGGGCCCCCCAGGAGUUGUCUGAUGUGGCAGCCUUGUUCAGAGAGGUCAAGAGGCUUGCCCAGGGUCACUUUGUGAACUUGGGCUGCUGUUCCUUUAGGUCUGAUGAUACAAGCAAGAAUGAAAAUAUUUUAAUACGCCAGAGAGAUGGUCUGGAAUCAGUGCAAAGCCAAAAGUGUAAACUCAGUUUAGGUUUUGAAAUGAAUUGACUCAGUCUAGGUUGGGGAAAAACUGGUUUGAGGCAGGUUCUUGCUAAGUUGCUGAGGCUGGCCUUCAACUUGCCAUCCUCCUGCCUCCCAAGUUGCUGGGAUUUUAAGUGUGCACCGCUGUGCCUGGCACUCUUUAUUUUUUUAAGAAAGAGAAGGGAGAGAAGAAGCAAGUGAUUGUGUGUGUGGGGGGGAGGAAUGAACAAAAAUUAAAGGAGAAUGGAACCAUUGAAAGGUGUUGUGGAUCCAUAGAAAGGGGAGGCUACGGAGGACCACAGUAAGGUUCUCCAGAGCCAGGCUGUCUUUAGCUGUCCUAGGGUUGGGAUAAAAAAAUAUUGAAAAUGUAAAUGAUUGUAGGAAUGCUCUGAAUAGAGGAUUAGUCGGCAAGGAAGUAAGAUUGAAAAAUCUGCCUUGAAAAACCCACUCAGGGAGACUUUUUUGACCACCACCACCACCACCUGGAUAGCAUUAAUCACUUUUUUUUCCUGAACUCUCUUUUAACUCUUCUCUAUUUUUGCAGAUACUAUAUACUUGCCACACACACACUCACACACACACACACACACACACACACACACACAUACAUAUGAAAAAAUUAUACACAUGGAAAACAUUCUCACCCAUGCAGGAUGAGCCCCAAGGAGGGGCAAGUCUGCUUGGGGGGAGGAGGUAACUUUGCAAGAGCCCCAGUUUAGAGGGCGAUUAGAGGUGGUUAAGUUCUUCAGGAGUAGAUUUUUACUUUUUCCUCUUUCUUUGACUUUUUAUCCCCUGGAAUAUGACAUUGAUGAGAAUGCCAGUGUCUGAAGUGACGACAAGAGAGUGUUUUGGAAGGGGGGCUGGUAUUUCCAGCACACACAUUGAGUUGAUUCUACCCGUAUAUUCGAACAGCACUAAUAAAUUGGGAAAACAUGGUGCAGACCACACACAACUUGGGAAGUUCCCCCGCUGAUGUAAGGACUAUGUUUCUCAAGCCCUUUUGUUUGACUAUGCCCUGCCAUCCUUGCCCAGUCUGUCCAUUGCCCUUUAAAGGGUACCAUCUUGUGAUGGCUCACCGAGUGGUGUUUCUCCAUCUCUUCAGUGUAGGAGCUGGCAUCUGAGGUGAGGAUUGCAUUGAGAGGAGCUCCGUGAAUUUAGGACACCCUUUUUGGUGCUGGAAACUUAUCCUCCUGCUUUGGCCUUAGGGUCUCUGAGGAUUGCCUGUGCCCUGAGGAGUAGGACUACCACCCUGAGACCUGCUCUCUGAAUCUACAGAAUGGAGCUACCCUCAAAAAACUCUUUUAGAAAGGGCACCAAGAAUUGGGAUUUUUGCAAGUUCCAAAAAGGGUUUUUCAAAUCCACUUUCAGUGCCAUUUUCUAAGAAAUUAGUUUCUUAUAGAAAAAAAAAUGGUUUUUGCCCUUCAGGCUUAAGAUAGCCAACUGUCAAAAUUUAGUGCAUAUAAUAAUAGAGUUCACUGGAAGGAAAAUAUGCUAGCAACAGCAUUUCCAAGCAGGGAGCCUGGCACUAAUUAUCACCGACUUCUUAAUGCCUGUAUCUGCCAGAUCUAACAUGUUUUAACCUCAUACAGCAUAUCUGUAACACCACACAUUAGCUUCUUAUUCAAGGUAUGCUCAGGAAUUCACCACUAAGCACAUCUGAGCAAUGUUAAAAGAGUGGGCAUGUAUUCACUCUUUUGAUAUAACUGCACACAGAAUUGAUCACUUGAGAAAGUAAAGAAUAUAUAUAUAUAUAAAUGAGAAACAAAAAUUCAACCAAAGGAGGCUAUUGUGCUGUUCAAAAGGAGAGUCAGGGUGAAUGGAAAUUUUAGUUUCACACUGGUAUGGUUUGAUAUGGUUUGUCCCUUAAAGAUUAAUAUACUAGAAGAUUGGUUCCCCCAGUGUGGUAAUGUAAGAGGUAGUAGAACUUUUAAGAGGUGGGGCCUCAUGGAAUAUUUUUAGGCCAUUGGGGUGCCAUCCUUGAAAGGGAUUAAUGUAGCUCUCUUAGAACCCAGGUUGGUUCCCAUUAGAGUGGAUUGUUACCAAAAGAGAAAAAACUAUCCUCUUUGCUCUCUGACUUCCUGUGAUCUCUUCUGCACACACUCCUUCCUUUAUGAUGCCAUCCUUAUGAGGCCCUCACCACAGCCAAGCCGAUUUCAGCACCAUGCUCUUGCAUCUCCAGAGCGGUGAGUUAAAUAAACCUCUUUUCUUUAUCAAAUAUGUAGCCUAAGGUAUUUUGUUAUAGCAGCACAGAAUAGAUGAAGACACACACACACACACACACACACACACACAUGUUCAUUGGUAGCAGUCACUCCCUCAGUUUGGAAUGAACUAGUGUUUGGAAAAGCCAUGGGGUGGGAUCCCCAUUCCUGGGGAGCAACUGGGAAGCUAAAGAGAAAGACAUAGGUCUUGCCUUGAAGGAAAUGUAUUGGCAAUGUAAUUAAUAGAAUAAAUGUAUUGAGAAAUACAUACUUAAUUUUUCCAUCUCUAAAACAUUUCUACUUUAUUUUUUUAGAAGCUCUAUUUGGUUUUCUUUUUAAAAUAUCUUUAUUUAUCUAUUGUUUAUGUGAUGCUGAGGAUCAAACCCAGUGCCUCACACAUGGGAGGCAUACAUCUACCACGGAGCUACAGUCCCAGCCCAUUUCUAUCUAUUUUAGAUGGUGUGGUCCUGUCUUCAGUGGUGCAAUAGAAAUCUCUCACAAAAUCACCUGUAGACCAAGAAUCACCUUGUCACAGAGAGAUUCCUUGGAGGACCUCCAAGCUGUUACAGACACAUCUGAAAGUACAUCUGUGUUACAUCUUAUAUAUAUACCAGAAUACCUGAGACGAGUGAAUCAUAAAGAAAAGAAGUUCAUUUAGGCUUAUGGUUCUGGAGGCUGGAAAGUCCAAGAUUGGGUGGCAGAAUCUGAUGAGGACCAUGUGCUACUUCACAACGUGGCGAACUUGGCAGGGUAAGGAGGGACAUUCAGAAACAAGCAGGAGAAGCUUUCCUGGUAACUAACCUGGAGCUCACUUGCCAUCUCAGGAAUUAACCCAGUCCCCAAUCACCUCUUAGAGGCACCACUUCCUGACACUGCCACAAUGACAUCAGAUUCCUACAUGAGUUUCAGAGGGAACCAACCUUUCUCAGACCAUGACAAUCAUAUUUAUCAGUGUUUUAGUUUAUAAAUAAGCACGUUCAUCACAGGCAAAAUACAAUAUUUACCAGUAUGUGAGUGCAGUCACCUGAAAACUUUCAACUUUAUAUACAUUUAGCUAUAAAUCAAAUAACUACAAAUCAAAUAACUUGUCCAAAUCAAAGGAUGUAGGAUAAAUUCAGCCAACAAUGACAUACUCAGAUCCAAGGACCUGAGAUAACCUCCAUAUUUUUUAACUAAAAAAAUAAACCACUUGGCACUUUUGGUUGACUUGGUCAAGGCUAGUUAAUAAUUUUCAUCAUUUUUAGUGAGGUUAAGUGUUAUCUUCAUUUUAUAUAUACACUGAAGGAUUAGUGGAUUAUAUCUCUUAUAUAAGUAGUGCUAUAAGUGAGGUAAUAGCGAUGAAAAUUUGCUGAAUCUAUGGAUUUUUUUUUCUCGAGCAGGACAUAAUCUCAACAGUUUAAAUGAGGUAUAGUUAACAUACAGUAAAUUGUACAUAUGUAGUGCCGCAGUCUGGCUGGGCACAAAAUCACGAGCCACUCACAGCCUUGUAGAUUCAAACAGCAAUUCUUUAUUUUCUGAACUCACAUCGGCCUCUACACACAAAGUUCUGGGGAAAUUCACGUUCUGCGCCAAAUCCACAUUCUGAAUCCCAAAUACUCUGGGAGCAGGCGUGCCUGAGGCAGCAGGAUACGCCC